UACGUAGGGCGCAAGCGUUGUCCGGAAUUAUUGGGCGUAAAGAGCUCGUAGGCGGCCUGUCGCGUCCGCUGUGAAAUCCCAGGGCUUAACCCUGGGCGUGCAGUGGAUACGGGCUGGCUGGAGGCAGGCAGGGGAGAACGGAAUUCCCGGUGUAGCGGUGAAAUGCGCAGAUAUCAGGAGGAACACCGAUGGCGAAGGCAGCUCGCUGGGACGGUACUGACGCUGAGGCGCGAAAGCGUGGGGAGCGAACAGG
rnacentral:rRNA from 1 species